rnacentral:rRNA from 1 species
UGCACAGGUGGUGCAUGGCUGUCGUCAGCUCGUGUCGUGAGAUGUUGGGUUAAGUCCGCAACGAGCGCAACCCCUGUCCUAUGUUGCCAGCAUUAAGUUGGGGACUCAUGGGAGACUGCCGGCGUCAAGCCGGAGGAAGGUGGGGAUGACGUCAAGUCAUCAUGCCCCUUAUGUCCUGGGCUGCACACGUGCUACAAUGGCCGGUACAAUGGGCUGCGGAUACCGUGAGGUGGAGCGAAUCCCAUAAAACCGGCCCCAGUUCGGAUCGAAGGCUGCAACUCGCCUUCGUGAAGUCGGAGUUGCUAGUAAUCGCGGAUCAGCAUGCCGCGGUGAAUACCGGUUCCCGGGCCUU